rnacentral:rRNA from 1 species
GACGAACGCUGGCGGCGUGCCUAAUACAUGCAAGUGGAACGCUGAAGGAGGAGCUUGCUCUUCUGGAUGAGUUGCGAACGGGUGAGUAACGCGUAGGUAACCUGCCUGGUAGCGGGGGAUAACUAUUGGAAACGAUAGCUAAUACCGCAUAAGAGUAGAUGUUGCAUGACAUUUACUUAAAAGGUGCAAUUGCAUCACUACCAGAUGGACCUGCGUUGUAUUAGCUAGUUGGUGGGGUAACGGCUUACCAAGGCGACGAUACAUAGCCGACCUGAGAGGGUGAUCGGCCACACUGGGACUGAGACACGGCCCAGACUCCUACGGGAGGCAGCAGUAGGGAAUCUUCGGCAAUGGACGGAAGUCUGACCGAGCAACGCCGCGGGAGUGAAGAAGGUUUUCGGAUCGUAAAGCUCUGUUGUAAGAGAAGAACGAGUGUGAGAGUGGAAAGUUCACACUGUGACGGUAUCUUACCAGAAAGAGACGGCUAACUACGUG